rnacentral:rRNA from 1 species
CCUACGGGUGGCAGCAGUGAGGAAUAUUGGUCAAUGGACGAGAGUCUGAACCAGCCAAGUAGCGUGAAGGAUGACUGCCCUAUGGGUUGUAAACUUCUUUUAUAUGGGAAUAAAACGUUCCACGUGUGGGAUUUUGUAUGUACCAUAUGAAUAAGGAUCGGCUAACUCCGUUCCAGCAGCCGCGGUAAUACGGAGGAUCCGAGCGUUAUCCGGAUUUAUUGGGUUUAAAGGGAGCGUAGGUGGAUUGUUAAGUCAGUUGUGAAAGUUUGCGGCUCAACCGUAAAAUUGCAGUUGAAACUGGCAGUCUUGAGUACAGUAGAGGUGGGCGGAAUUCGUGGUGUAGCGGUGAAAUGCUUAGAUAUCACGAAGAACUCCGAUUGCGAAGGCAGUUCACUGGACUGCAACUGACACUGAGGCUCGAAAGUGUGGGUAUCAAACAGGAUUAGAUACCCUUGUAGUC